AAAGAGAGAGAGACUAUCCAACCAUGGACAGAGCGUUUUGAUCAAGUGCGGCGAGUUCACUAUAUGUUGGUGACGUUUAGUUGUGUUUUUAUUGACGUUAUGUGCAGGACGUCUGUUAACUUGGCUCUCGUUGGCUCGCUAGAUCUCGAGGAAGGAAUGUAGGACUUUUUGUCACGUAGAGCGUAUGAACCUAGGAUUUUGUACAGGUUCUUUUGGGGGUUUGGGUUGGGAAGUUUGUGAUGUGUACUUGGAUUAGUUGCUGUAUUAUAUAUUCAUUAGUGGAUUUAUCUGCUCUUGCUGUGAAUUAGAUUUGUGAAUUCCUUUGGAAGAAAAGGAAUUGGACCUGUCAGGAAGCCGGAACUCCUUACACGGAUCGGACUACGGUUCUCCCGGUUCCCAUCUUGGACUUCCAUCAUCACCCCGGGGAUACCUGGACGGCGACCUAACUCUUAGGCCGCGGAGCAUGAAAACAAAGCGCGGUGGGAACUUGGGUGAACCUCCUGCCAGACCUGCUAGCAUAGCUGUUAUGUCCAGCGGUGGACCGCUGACCGCCGGAUAUCGCCUAUCUAAAAGCAACUCAUCGACCAGUAUAAACUCUGUCUCCGACUGUAUGGAGACACAGAUUGUUAAUCAGGAGGAGAUCCUCCAACUCACCAGGGAUGUCCGCAACUUCUCAGAGGCACUCAACCAACUCAAGAGUGUCUUCAACCAUGAUGGUGGGGGUAAGUAAUACAUGUAGCAGUAGUAGUAACCUGGGGCCCGUAACACAAAGGUUUGCGAUGGAUUGCAAAUAUAAAAGAACCGCACUGGUUGGUCCCUGGUCGGUAUUUUAAACCAAAUGCGCGUGUAACAUUGAUAUUGAUUGGUCAGUUAAUGUAGCGAUUGAUCGCUAAUCUUUGUGUUACGGAGCCCAGGGGACUGUUUCAUGAAAGUUGUCAGUACUGACAUGUUGACUCCAACAGUCAGAAGCAAGUGCCCCACAGCCAAUCAAAACCCAAGAAUUUCACUUAAACAAUCAGCACUGCAUUACAAUUUAGUCAGCACUGACAACUUUCAUGAAACACCCCUCAGAACUUUGAAAUUUGAUUUUUAUUUCCUUGAUGGAUAGGAGUUGGUGGAUUUUCUUCGCACGUGCAGCAUUCAUAGUUACCUCCUCCUUCCAUUUACCUGAUUCAGGAUUUCCUCAUGAUCUUUCGUCCUCAAUCCAACCCUCCUCUGGUUGUUUUCAAGCUUUCUUUGGUUUCCUACUCUUCCUUGAAGCAGUCACUUUGCCCUCAAUAGCCAUUCUUAUAGGGGCUUUCACAAUCGUCCAUACGAUCAUUUGCGAUCAUUUGGUCACAAUAUAUGUUGCACACAAUCGCAACGGUUGUAAGCAGUCGCACCACCAAUUGUGAAAGGGGCUUAAAACAUGCUCUUUUUUGGCUUCCCAUAAGAAGGGACAGUUUAUAAAAGGUAAUAUUUAUGAUUAUUUUUUAUUAUGCCCUUUUCAAUUUGUUAAUAGUUUGAGUUUUAUUUGAAAUUUUGAAAUAGUUUCUGCAUCAUUGGCUAUAAGCUAACCUACGAUGUACUCUUGCAAUAUUUGAAAUGAAAAAAGAAAUCUUAAAAUUUACCCAAGUCCCUUUUUGCAGGAAGCCAACAUCUUAAUCUUGCUUCAGCACUAAGAAAGAUCUGAAGAAGAUCCUGUUUCCUAAGCUGGAUGAUCAUGUGGUUCCAUUAGUUCUGUAAUUUGCAACAUCUUUUUCAAGAAAUUGCCCUAAUUGGGUAUUAGAAAGCAGAAUUUGGGACAACCGAAUUAAAAUAUGUACCUUGGUUUCUAAUAUCCAUUUUUUAUAACUUCAAGAUGAGUAGUUGUUCAUACUAAUUCAUGCUGUGUUGUUAAUCCCUGGAAGGAAGUAUACUCCAGAAAGAGUUGCCAAAAUGUGAGUCAGCGGUCACAUAAAAGUUAACAAGUGUGAAUAACUCUUUCGAUAUCAAAUCGGUCAUAAUCGCUCUGUACUGAGCAACAAUGAUAUCAGCAACAUGAACAAAUUGUGAUAGAAUUGAGUACCUGAAAGUCUUGAUUCCAGCUGUUUCUUUGAAUAGGUCUUUAUUGUAAUUCACUGCUUACAAGGCGAGCAAAUUAUUUGCUUCUACAUUGUAGUUGAACAUGCAUUCAUAUUUCUAAAUGUCUUGAACAGAAUGAGUACUAUACAUGGAUGAUCAGAGUCCAUAUUUCCUCAAUAUUGUGGCGGUAGAAGAAAAUAAAGAAAGGAAGAAAAACAACAUUUUUUUCCUUCCUUGUCUCCCUGUCUUCUUCCUUUUACAAAUAACGCAAAGGAGUUUGUGUUAUUUUCCAUUUUUCAUAAUAUUAAGGAAAUACUUUGACAUGUCAGAGUAGCAACUGGUAUGAAUUAAAAUAUGUAUCUGCACAUAACAUAUAAACUUAUUAUACUUCCAUAUAACAUUAUUAACGUACAUGUGAGUUGUUCAUAUUUUUUUUGCUGUAUUAUUUAUUGAACAUGUUGAGAAAAAUCAGUAGAAGAAAUAAGUUAGAUGGAAAGGGAACAACUAAAUAUGGAGUAAUAGAAGUGAUACAGUCUGUUCUUGUUUUUCUGUUAUGUUUUUCUCCCACUUCAAAAAAUGACCCUUAAGAAGAAAAUGAUAAGCUGAUAUCCAUUUGCUGUUUAUUCAUCUUUUUAAAUGAUCAAAGAUCUGAAAGGGCCGCCAGCAUAAUAACCAAAACAUCAAGCAAAAUAUGUGGCUGAAAGUAAAUGGAUUUUGCGAUGAAAAGCAUUCACCUCUCCAUAAUAUAUACUGAUUACAAGCUUGAAAUCUAUGAAUAAAAUCAAACCCAUGCCCCCCAGAAUUGAUAAUUAGUGGUAAGGCACUCGAGCAAAAACCUUGGCCACUGUUCGUCACUUGCAAGAUGUAAAACCCACACGUUUGACAGAAUGAUUGCCAGAAAUUGACUUCAGUUUAGGCCUGAAUGGCAGGGCACCGUCCACUCUCGCUCCCAGUGUGUAUGACUUGAAUAGAGAGCUCAAUGAUGAGUUAUUGAUCGCGGCACCCUAACUAGACGCACCGAUCAAUAGGGAUUGAUUGGUAGGCAGAGGGCCGUCAUCCUACCCCUACGGGUGUGAUACCAUGCACCCCUUCUUUCUCCUAUACCCCUUUCACUUGCCCUCUUCUCAGUUUUGUUUGCUGAUCGUCGCGCUCGGCUGCAGUUCUGAACAUGAUUUGAUCAAUUCAAUCCUCCAGCGACAAUUUAGUUAGGCAAAUUCAGAGAGGGGCUAAUCGAUGGGCGAAGGAAGGCCAAUUAUAGCUGGCCAUUUGCAAGAUGCCGAUGGGACAAAUACAAAACAUGUUAGGGAUUAGAGUAUUGUGGUAGUGAAGGAAAGAGAAGCCAUUUACUCAAAGAAAUUAAGUGUUUAGGCAAAGACAUAAAAGUCACCGCCGUUUCUUCUUUCUUGAAAGUGAUAUUUUCUUGGAAGUAAUUUUUUCUUGAAAGUGAUUCAUAUGUUUUUCUUUGUAUAUUUGUGUACCAAUAUUUAUAUCAAUCAAUUAUUUUCAGUAAAGUCUUGAUGAGUUAGAUUUUUUUUUAGUCUAUGCACUUUAGGAAAACAUCUCUCCUCUUUAUUUUAGUCAAUUUUUAUGACACUUUUAUGACACUUUUACGACAUUGAAAUUCAAUAUUUUAAAUUUAUUUAUUCAACUAUCAAAAGGACAUUCAAUACAACUACAAGAUAAAGGAUUUGCACUGAGAGAUACCUGAAAGAAGAUUGCAAUGAGGGUUUAGAGACCUUGGAGAAAGAAAAGCUUUUCAAUGCUGUCACCAAAAUAUUAAUACAUAUAUGAAAACUGUAUGAAUUCUUUCAAUUCUUGUAACCAAAAUUGAUUCUUCAAAUGCUGCAUUAUUGUUUUGUUUUUGUUGAUGAAAUAGACUAAGUGCUCAUAUAAGUAACGUAAUAAAAACAAAACAACGAUAGGCUCUUGUAUAGUCUGUCAGAUAUGACAUCCCUGGUGCUUCGGAAUGAUAACCCCACCUUUGCACAGUAAAAACACUUUUAAAAUUUUAUACAACGUUGUUUACCAUCAUGUGAACCUUGCAGUAGUUGUUUCAACAGUUUAAAGAAGUGUUUAAAAUCUUAAACAGCAAAGUUUGAUUUUUAAUAUUCAGUUCUCAAUAAAUCAAGCAUGGUUGUUAAAACUUUUAAACAACUAGAUUAAGAUUCAUAUAGUAAACGGUGUUUGAUAAAAUUAAAGCAACAUUUUUACUGUAUAGCGCAGCUGCCAGUAUUAGGUGUUUUGAGCAUUUCAAGGAAUAAAUUCCUGUUUAUAGCUAUAAACCAUUUUAUGUACCUCACCUGAGUCUACUUUUAUUACUUAUUGUUCAUUCUUCACUCCAAAGGGAAGCAUUUAUCAUUUUAAGGCUACAGAGGGGAUUAUGCCAAGUUGCGUAAUUGUGUGAGUUUUGCCAAAAUGGGUUCCUAGAAGUGCGUUUCAUCAGUAUCACAACUUCUAUUCUCUAGUUUUAGAUGCUCAGUUGAUAAGAAAUCCUCACGCCAUCGUCAGUACCGGUACUUGAAGUGUGUGUUUCAUCAGUAUCACAACUUCUUUCCUCUAGUUAUAGAUGCUCAGUUGAUAAAAAAAUCCUCACGCCAUCGUCAGUACCGGUACUUGCAAUUUCCUUUCAAAAUGUCACUUUUGGUGGAACACUAGUGCUACAUUGCACAAAACGAAUGGUUGUGGUUCUUUAUCUGCUAUAAAAAACAGAAAGGAUCAAUAUUGGGAAAUUGAUACUCUUAAGCACCCAAUAAUGGAGUAUUUAAGUUGAAUUGAUUGGUAUAAUCUGAGACAGUGAGGCGUGCUAACUUGCAUCCGUUUAACGGCACUAAUGCACCUGCUUAUUCCAUGCCAUCAACAUGCACAAAGCAAAUGUGUCAUGAUAGAACUGAAAAAAGGUUUUGCUUUCCUGCUGCUGAUUAAGUGGAAACCUUUUCUG